rnacentral:rRNA from 1 species
CUACGGGGGCUCCAGUGGGGAAUAUUGGACAAUGGGGGAAACCCUGAUCCAGCAAUGCCGCGUGUGUGAAGAAGGCCUGCGGGUUGUAAAGCACUUUCGGUUGGGAGGACUGCUUCUAGCACUAAUAUUGUUGGAAGUUGACGUUACCUUCAGAAGAAGCACCGGCUAACUCCGUGCCAGCAGCCGCGGUAAUACGGAGGGUGCAAGCGUUAAUCGGAAUUACUGGGCGUAAAGCGCGCGUAGGCGGCUAGAUCAGUCGGGUGUGAAAGCCCCGGGCUUAACCUGGGAACUGCAUCCGAUACUGGCUAGCUUGAGUACAGGAGAGGAGAGUGGAAUUCCACAUGUAGCGGUGAAAUGCGUAGAUAUGUGGAGGAACACCAAUGGCGAAGGCAGCUCUCUGGCCUGAUACUGACGCUGAGGUGCGAAAGCGUGGGGAUCAAACAGGAUUAGAUACCCUUGUAGUC